rnacentral:rRNA from 1 species
GAACCUGCGGAAGGAUCAUUACCGAGUGUAGGGUUCCUAGCGAGCCCAACCUCCCACCCGUGUUUACUGUACCUUAGUUGCUUCGGCGGGCCCGCCAUUCAUGGCCGCCGGGGGCUCUCAGCCCCGGGCCCGCGCCCGCCGGAGACACCACGAACUCUGUCUGAUCUAGUGAAGUCUGAGUUGAUUGUAUCGCAAUCAGUUAAAACUUUCAACAAUGGAUCUCUUGGUUCCGGCAUCGAUGAAGAACGCAGCGAAAUGCGAUAACUAGUGUGAAUUGCAGAAUUCCGUGAAUCAUCGAGUCUUUGAACGCACAUUGCGCCCCCUGGUAUUCCGGGGGGCAUGCCUGUCCGAGCGUCAUUGCUGCCCAUCAAGCACGGCUUGUGUGUUGGGUCGUCGUCCCCUCUCCGGGGGGGACGGGCCCCAAAGGCAGCGGCGGCACCGCGUCCGAUCCUCGAGCGUAUGGGGCUUUGUCACCCGCUCUGUAGGCCCGGCCGGCGCUUGCCGAACGCAAAUCAAUCUUUUUCCAGGUUGACCUCGGAUCAGGUAGGGAUACCCGCUGAACUUAAGCAUAUCAA